CACGUAGGAGGCAAGCGUUAUCCGGAAUUACUGGGCGUAAAGAGCGUGUAGGCGGCACGGUAAGUCAACCGCGAAAGCUCCCGGCUAAACUGGGAGAGGUCGGAUGAGACUGCCGAGCUAGAGGGUCGUAGAGGGGUGUGGAAUUCCGGGUGUAGUGGUGAAAUGCGUAGAGAUCCGGAGGAACACCAGAGGCGAAGGCGGCACCCUGGACGACACCAGACGCUGAGACGCGACAGCACGGGGAGCGAACGGG
rnacentral:rRNA from 1 species